rnacentral:rRNA from 1 species
CAUGUAGGCUGUUUAGUAAGUCAGAGGUGAAAUCCCACGGCUCAACCGUGGAACUGCCUUUGAUACUGCUAAACUUGAAUCCGGGAGAGGGUGGCGGAAUUCCAGGUGUAGGAGUGAAAUCCGUAGAUAUCUGGAGGAACAUCAGUGGCGAAGGCGGCCACCUGGACCGGUAUUGACGCUGAGAUGCGAAAGCGUGGGUAGCAAACA